rnacentral:tRNA from 1 species
AUCUAGGUAUCUGAAUGGAUAGAGUGCUGGGCUUGGAAUCUAGAAGAUCUGAGUUCAAAUCUAGCCUAAGAUA